GACAGAGGGUGCAAACGUUGUUCGGAAUUACUGGGCGUAAAGCGUGUGUAGGCGGUCCGCUAAGUCGGGUGUGAAAGCCCUGGGCUCAACCCAGGAAGUGCACUCGAAACUGGCGGGCUAGAGUACUGGAGAGGUUGGUGGAAUUCUCGGUGUAGAGGUGAAAUUCGUAGAUAUUCGCAAGAACACCAGUGGCGAAGGCGGCUCACUGGCCCGAUACUGACGCUGAGGCACGAAAGCGUGGGGAGCAAACAGG
rnacentral:rRNA from 1 species